GACGAACGCUGGCGGCGUGCUUAACACAUGCAAGUCGAACGAAGAGCGAUGGAAGCUUGCUUCUAUCAAUCUUAGUGGCGAACGGGUGAGUAACGCGUAAUCAACCUGCCCUUCAGAGGGGGACAACAGUUGGAAACGACUGCUAAUACCGCAUACGAUCUGACCUCGGCAUCGAGGAUAGAUGAAAGGUGGCCUCUACAUGUAAGCUAUCACUGAAGGAGGGGAUUGCGUCUGAUUAGCUAGUUGGAGGGGUAACGGCCCACCAAGGCGAUGAUCAGUAGCCGGUCUGAGAGGAUGAACGGCCACAUUGGGACUGAGACACGGCCCAGACUCCUACGGGAGGCAGCAGUGGGGAAUCUUCCGCAAUGGACGAAAGUCUGACGGAGCAACGCCGCGUGAGUGAUGACGGCCUUCGGGUUGGAAAGCUCGGUUAAUCGGGACGAAAGGCCUUUUUGCGAAUAGUGAGAAGGAUUGACGGUACCGGAAUAGAAAGCCACGGCUAACUACGUG
rnacentral:rRNA from 1 species